rnacentral:rRNA from 1 species
AAGGAUCAUUACAAGAAGAACGAGGCCUUCGGGUCUCGAUCCUCAAACCACUGUGUACCGUAUCUCUUGUGUUUGGCGGGCGCGCCUCCCCUCCGCGGGGUGGUCAGCCCGCCGAAGAUGCAGACCGUCCGUCCGAUGAACGUCUGAAACCAAAUCGUUUUUAACGAGAAUUAAAGUACAACUUUCAACAAUGGAUCUCUUGGCUCCGGCAUCGAUGAAGAACGCAGCGAAAUGCGAUAGCUAGUGUGAAUUGCAGAUUUCAGUGAAUCAUCGAGUCUUUGAACGCACAUUGCGCCUCUUGGUAUUCCAUGAGGCAUGCCUGUUCGAGCGUCAUUAGAACACUCAAGCUCUGCUUGGUGUUGGGUGUCUGUCCCGCCUCUUGUGCGUGGACUCGCCUUAAAGUCAUUGGCAGCCGCUCUUGUAGGCCUGGAAGCGCAGCAAAGUCCGCGCGGUAGGCUGUCAUGGUGGCGUCCAACAAGCUCUUCUUACACUUGACCUCGGAUCAGGUAGGGAUACCCGCUGAACUUAAG